rnacentral:rRNA from 1 species
GAUGAACGCUGGCGGCGUGCUUAACACAUGCAAGUCGAGCGAGAAGUUUUGAAAAGAUUCUUCGGAUGAAAUUUAAAAUGGAAAGCGGCGGACGGGUGAGUAACGCGUAGGCAACCUGCCCCAUACAAAGGGAUAGCAUUUGGAAACGAAUAUUAAUACCUUAUGAAACUUAACUAGUGCAUGCUAGGUAGGUCAAAGAUUUAUCGGUAUGGGAUGGGCCUGCGUCUGAUUAGCUAGUUGGUGAGGUAACGGCUCACCAAGGCGACGAUCAGUAGCCAACCUGAGAAGGUGAACGGCGACAUAGGAACUGAGACACGGGCCAAACUCCUGCGAGAGGCAGCAGUGGGGAAUAUUGCACAAUGGGGGAAACCCUGAUGCAGCAACGCCGCGUGAACGAUGAAGGCCUUUGGGUCGUAAAGUUCUGUUCUAGGUGAUGAAGACUGACAGUAACCUAGGAGAAAGCCCCGGCUAACUCCGUG